UACGAGAGGCCCAAACGUUAUUCGGAUUUACUGGGCUUAAAGAGUUCGUAGGCGGCUUGGAAAGUGGGGUGUGAAAGCCCUCGGCUUAACCGAGGAAUUGCGCUCCAAACUACCGAGCUUGAGGAGGCUAGAGGUGAGCAGAACUGAUGGUGGAGCGGUGAAAUGCGUUGAUAUCUUCAGGAAUACCGGAGGCGAAGGCGGCUCACUGGGACCUUUCUGACGCUGAGGAACGAAAGCUAGGGGAGCAAACGGG
rnacentral:rRNA from 1 species